rnacentral:rRNA from 1 species
AGCUAGAGUUUGAUCAUGGCUCAGGACGAACGCUGGCGGCGCGCUUAACACAUGCAAGUCGAGCGAGAACCAGACCUUCGGGUCUGGGGAAAGCGGCGAACGGGUGAGUAACACGUGAGUAAUCUGCCCUCGACAUCGGGAUAGCCCGGGGAAACCCGGAUUAAUACCGAAUGGCCCACCUGCUCUUCGGGGCGGUUGGAAAAGGUAGCUUCGGCCUCCGGUCGAGGAGGAGCUCGCGGCCGAUUAGCUUGUUGGUGGGGUAAUGGCCCACCAAGGCGACGAUCGGUAGCUGGUCUGAGAGGACGAUCAGCCACACUGGGACUGAGACACGGCCCAGACUCCUACGGGAGGCAGCAGUGGGGAAUCUUGCGCAAUGGGCGAAAGCCUGACGCAGCGACGCCGCGUGCGGGAAGAAGGCCUUCGGGUUGUAAACCGCUUUCAGGAGGGACGAAGCUACUCGGGUGAAUAGCCCAGAGGGUGACGGUACCUCCAGAAGAAGCCCCGGCUAACUACGUGCCAGCAGCCGCGGUAGCCCA